rnacentral:misc_RNA from 1 species
UGAAUUUGAGAUCUAGGUAUCGUUGUCUAGAAACUCUUCAAACAACAUUCUUGACUUCUCUGUUUUGGGCUUUGAACAUUAAAUCCAUACAUAAAUCAAUCUUUGCAUGUGUAUUGAUUGAACUUGUUGCGACUUUGGUGUAUUGAAUAUGAGAUUUGGGUGUAUAUUGUUUAUAUUGCAGGUAUAUUGAAUCUGUUGUGAUUUGUGAUGAUUUGUAGUUGUAUUUAUAUUAAAUUUGUAUGAAUUAUUGAAUGUGUUAGGGGAUUUGCAAUUUGUGGCAACAAAUUAUAGAUUUGUGAUUUGAGGCGGCAAAUUGGGGAAAAAUUUAAGGAUUUUUUAUUUGGGAAGUUUGAGAGCAAACCGAUGGUUUUGAACCGAACCGAAAUAAUUCGGUUUGAUUUGGUUCCUCUCUUAAAUUAGUUCAGUCUGGUUGUUUUUUAAUGUGAAAUUUGAUUUUUGGUUUGAGAAGUUCUGUUCGUUCGGUUUAAACUGAAUGCCCAGCCCUAGAUGCUCAUGAUAAGAUAAAAGCAUUGUUUGAAUUAUGGGCAGAUGCUUUGGAGUCUGAAAUUAGAUACUUCUGGUUGCAACCCCUCUUCCAUGGCCCCCUUCCUGGAUAUAUGUAAACGAUAAUAUGAGAAUGCAUUCUUGUGAUCAUUAAUUGCAUGAAAUCUAAAUCUUUUCUGUGAAUAUGUGGGUGUACAUAUGACUUGUGAAAGUUAAUGAUUAGGCAACAAUAUUUUUUUUUUGAGCUGUGUUUUGAAACACUCUGUGGAUAGGAUAUUUUGAAAAAUGGACAACCUGAAAAUAUUAUUUCCAUGAAACAAUAAUUUAUAUGCUUUUAAAACUCCUUGGUUCUUGGAUAGUUCAGUGCUUGGAGAUACAUUUGAACUGUAUUUUAAAUUGUACAAUCAGUUCUUAAGGGGUCUAUAUGUAUUCUGGUUGAGUGAGUCCAAAAAAUUUUAAAUUCCUUAUGUGAUACUCUCUACAAUUUAAUUAUAAUGGUCCUAUAGGUUUUGGACACAAGUGGAAGUUUCAGAUGUGGAAUGAAAAAUGUAUGUGCUCAACCUGCUUAUGGUGGUGUAAAAGACAUUCUUACAAGUGUCUACAAGGAAGGGGGAACACGUGCACUGUAUCGAGGAGUAGGUGAGUUUGCUUGUUUUCUUAAUCAUUAUAUUUCAGAGUGGUUUGAAAAAACUUGUAACUGUGUUGAAUUGGGGCCAGGCUAAAGAGUUCCAGUAAUAGUUAAAAGGGCUUGUGCCAACAGGCGUAUCCCUUAUCUUAUGCUCAACUACUCUUUGGUCAGCCUUGGUUUUAGCAAAGCCCAACCUAAUCCUGACAUGAUUACUUGGCAUUAAAUAUAUGGCCAGGCGCAGGCAUUGAUAACAGCUCAAAGCUUGGGAUGGGCUUGGGGUAGAGACAAUGGACUAACCUGUUGAUCCUUAAUUUGGGUCUAGGCUUUGGCUAAGCCAUGCUCAUGCCCCCUCUAUCUAUGUUAACACUAAUGGUUAAAUAGUUUAUGAAGAAUUUUCUCAUUUUGAUGAAGUUUCAUGAUUUUCAGAAAUAUCUGUUUUCCUUGUUAACGCUGAUCUUGAUUAUUUAGUGAAAUAUGUGCAUGUGUGUGACUUUCCCCCAAUGUCAAUUGGUUAGUUAAUGUUCAAUCUUUAAUAUUGGAAUAUUUACAUGAUCAGCCCCAGUAUAAAAUGUAUGAUUUCAGUUUCAGUUAUGGUUUGUUAUGUAUUUUCAUUGAUGCAAUUGCUUGAAAAAAGCAACCUCUAAAAAUGUUGAUUACUAGCAAUUAAAAAACAAAGGCAUGUUUGGCAUGUUUUGGUUAUAAAACCCAUAAAACAGUUCAAAAGUAGUUAGAGGUUGCUUUUUGAAAAAAGCAUCUAAAAGUCCCUCCUUUUCUGAAUGCAGUCAGAAGCACUGCCAAAUGGACCAUUAGCGGUAAUGAUGAAGUUUUGUUUGUUGAGC